AUGCGAAUUGCAGAAUUCCAAGUGAGUCAUCGAAUCUUUGAACGCACAUUGCGCCCUUUGGUAUUCCGAAGGGCAUGCCUGUUCGAGCGUCAUUAUCACCCCUCAAGCCCUCGGCUUGGUGUUGGACGGUUUGGUGGAGGCCCCCUCGGGGGUUCCUGCCCCUCCCAAAGACAAUGACGGCGGCCUCGUUGGACCCCCGGUACACUGAGUUCUUCACGGGACACGUAUCGGACACAUGGGUUUACGGGACACGGUCUGCCUCCCCUCAGGGAGAAUCUUUCUAAGGUUGACCUCGGAUCAGGUAGGGAUACCCGCUGAACUUAAGCAUAUCAAUAAGCGGAGGAAAAGAAACCAACAGGGAUUGCCUCAGUAACGGCGAGUGAAGCGGCAACAGCUCAAAUUUGAAAUCUGGCCUCUUUGGGGUCCGAGUUGUAAUUUGUAGAGGAUGUUUCGGGUACCGCCUCGGUUUAAAUUUCUUGGAACAGAAUGUCAAAGAGGGUGAGAAUCCCGUCUUGGACCGGCGGUAGGGCCCAUGUGAAACUCCUUCGACGAGUCGAGUUGUUUGGGAAUGCAGCUCAAAAUGGGUGGUAAAUUUCAUCUAAAGCUAAAUAUUGGCCAGAGACCGAUAGCGCACAAGUAGAGUGAUCGAAAGAUGAAAAGCACUUUGAAAAGAGAGUUAAACAGUAUGUGAAAUUGUUGAAAGGGAAGCGCUUACAACCAGACUUGCGCGCGGCGGUUCCCCCUUCCUUUUGGUUGGGCUACUCCGUCGUGUCCAGGCCAACAUCGGUUCUGGGGGUCGGUUAAAGACCCUGGGAAUGUAUCUACCCUUCGGGCGUAGACUUAUAGCUCAGGGUGUCAUGCGACCUCCCGGGACCGAGGAACG
rnacentral:rRNA from 1 species